UACGGAGGGUGCAAGCGUUGCUCGGAAUUAUUGGGCGUAAAGGGUAGGUAGGUGGUCUCAUUUGUCUGGGGUGAAAGCCUUGAGCUUAACUCAAGAAGUGCCCCAGAAACGGUGAGACUAGAGUCUUGGAGAGGGUCGUGGAACUCCCGGUGUAGCGGUGAAAUGCGUAGAGAUCGGGAGGAACACCAGAGGCGAAGGCGGCGACCUGGACAAGCACUGACACUCAACUACGAAAGCGUGGGGAGCAAACAGG
rnacentral:rRNA from 1 species